GACGGAGGAUGCAAGCGUUAUCCGGAUUUACUGGGCGUAAAGGGCAUGCAGGCGGUCCGACGCGUUUUGUGUGACAGCGGGUGGCUUAACUACCCGAGGAUACGAAAGACGGUUGGACUUGAGGACUCGAGAGGGACACGGAAUUCCGGGUGGAGUGGUGAAAUGCGUAGAGAUCCGGAGGAACACCGAAGGCGAAGGCAGUGUCCUGGCGAGUGACUGACGCUGAGGUGCGAAAGCCAGGGGAGCGAACGGG
rnacentral:rRNA from 1 species